UGUCCAGGUGCAGUGAGCUAGAACGCGAAGCCCUUUUCCCUAUUCCUGGAGCUGUGUUCCACCUGCCGCCUGGCACUCAGGCCCCACCCUUCCUGCUCUUGGUGCCUCAAGUAGUCUCCACCAACCCUGUGGUGUGGCCAGCCCCAUGCUGCUCAAGCUGCAGCAAAAGAGGAAGCAGACACUGCUCUCAAGAGUGUUGCAGCUUGAUCGGUAAAACAGCUACUUCUGUUGAAGAAUCUACCAGCCAUCGUGCCUCUUUGGAAACUCCUGAGGCUGAGCCUCAUAACUUAUAUGAGGUCAGAGCAGCCCUCGAAGGUCCUGGCCAGCAGCCGGUGGAUUCAGAGCGGGGAGCCCUCUCAGAGUUUUCCAUCCUUCAGCCAACAAGUGAAGACCUGCUGUCUACACCACUGGGGCCGAGGGUGCGUGGCAGUGGGAGCAUAGAGACCCUCUAAAGGAAAUGCUUCAGUAGACAACAGUCAAAAUAAUCAAAGGAGGGGCAGGGACUUGCCCUGGUCCCACGCCCCUGCCUCAUGUUUCUUACAUACCAGGAGUGAACUUGCAGCUCCAGAAGCAGCACACACACAGGAGGUGUUGCUGUGGACCAGGAGGACUGCACACACGUUCAGAGCAGGAGAUAAAGGGGUCGAGGAAGGCCUCCGGGAUGAAGGGCCUUGAGCAGGACCCUGAGAACACAUUGGAUUUAGGACCCUGGCUGAUAUACCUGCUGUGUGAGCCCCUCUCCAUGGCCCAAUCUCUCGCCCCGCCUGAUGUCCUGGUAUUACUGCUGUCAUCGUCACCACCAGCCCCUUCACACCCCCAACUUUUAGUGAG
rnacentral:lncRNA from 1 species